AAUGGAAAUUCUCUAUUCAACAUUACAAAACCUGGGGAAUUUUACUUCACAAGUGGAGUAGAAGGACACUGUGAAAAGUCACAGAAACUUCAUAUUUCAAUACCAGGAAGAAAUGGAACAGCUUAUGAAGAAGAUUCACCUGCUUUUGCUCCAUCUGCAGAUUCGCCUGCUUACCCUACUGUUUUUGGCUCGACUCCUGUCCAAUCUGCUAAUCAAUCUUCUUCUGGGAAAUGGCCUAUCUCUGUUUUUGCUGCUAUUGGAUCACUGUUUUUCACAGUGCUCAUAAGAAGCACCAUUUUUUAGAGAAAUUAUACUACGUUUGGAACAGCACAUUUUGAGAUUUAAUUCUUUUUUUUUUUUGUACUGAGUAAUCUUCUUCUGGGAAAUUGCCUAUCUCUGUUUUUGCUGCUAUUGGAUCACUGUUUUUCACAGUGCUCAUAAGAAGCACCAUUUUUUAGAGAAAUUAUACUACGUUUGGAACAGCACAUUUUGAGAUUUAAUUCUUUUUUUUUUUUGUACUGAGCCAUUCUAUUUACUUAGUAUGUUGUUAAAUUUGUGAAGAGUUCACUCAUUAUGAUGAGUUUAUUGGGAGGAGCUUACCGUUUUCCCUUAAAAAAAAAAAAAGCUUUGAGCAGCAAAAGUUGAAUCAUCUUCCAGGAACAUAUGACAAUAUGAGGAAGCUUACCUGAAAUAUGAGGAAGACCGAAGAACCGAAGAAGAUCGAAGAAGAAGCUGCGCAGCGCAGGCAGGGUUACUGCGUUAGGGUUAGGCUUUUUAUUAUUCGGUAUAUGUAAUUGUAUAGCAGUAUAUAUAUAUGGUAAGGGGUAGGUUAGGCAAGGCUGGCAAGCAGG
rnacentral:lncRNA from 1 species